CCUGGGUCCUCUUUGACAGGCUGUCCCCUGAGUACUGUUCAUUGGUGAACAAAGAGUUCAGUGAAAAGAAGGCAGAAGGCCUGGGGUGAGAGAAAAUCUCCGAGGGGGACCUGAUGCAGCCUUGGGGGAAUAGAAGCUGCCUAGCUUCUUGGGGUCUGCACAAGCUAAGGCCUGGGCUCCUGGCAGACUUUCCUGCUAGCCCAGAAGACACCCACACACCCAAACCACUGGGAACGUGGCUUGCUGACCUUGGCAGGAAGAAGGGCUGAGUCGGCCUUUUGCGUAACAUAAAUACUCAGCACAGCUGCCUGCGACCUGCCCACUUCUUGUCAAAUCCAAGAAGGAAGGGACCUGCUGGCCAAACCCUUUUUUCCCACUGGACCUCAGACCCCAAGGAACUUGGAGUCUGCUCAAGUGAGUGAGUUGGGGCUCUUCGCCCUCCCAGAACUGGCUGUUGAUGGAAGAAACCCCUGCGUAGGAAGGAUGGUCCCACACAUCCUUUUAGAUCUGAUUCAAAUCCCACGACUUCCAUGAAGAUGUGUUCCACUUACUCUGAUUUCUCUCUUCUUGGAACUCCUGUCACCCUGGAUUCAUGGAACUCUCCUGCUAUCAUGUGAAGCAGCAUGGACUAGCCUACAGAGGAUGAGGCCUCAUGGAGCAGACAAGCUGUCUCAGUUGAGGCCCUCAAAACCAAUCAAGCUCCAGCUGAACUGCCAGGUGACUGUAGCUGCAUGAGUGACCCCAGGCAAGAUGAGCAGAAGAGGCCCCAACUGAGCCCAACCCAAAUAGCUGACUCAUGGAAUCAUGAGCAAAUAAAAUGGUUGUUUUAAGCCACUAAGUUUUUAGAUGGUUUGUUACCCAGCAAUACAUAAUUGGUUUAUCAGAUAUCACAGCUAUUUUAUAGAUGAAGAAACUGACUCUCCAAGAAUUUGAUUGACUUGCACAUCAGGACAAGGACUGGGAUGGAAAGAGAAAGCCA
rnacentral:lncRNA from 1 species